CGUUGGUCUGUGGCUGAACGAGCUGAACCCUGCUGACUGGAAUAACCUU
rnacentral:sRNA from 1 species